rnacentral:rRNA from 1 species
GACAGAGGGGGCCAGCGUUGUCCGGAGUCACUGGGCGUAAAGCGCACGCAGGCGGCCACCUCAGUGUCAUGUGAAAGCCCCCGGCUCAACCGGGGGAGGCCAUGGCAAACUGGGUCGCUUGAGCUGCGGAGAGGCCCCUCGAAUUGCCAGUGUAGCGGUGAAAUGCGUAGAGAUCGGCAGGAAGACCAAGGGGGAAGCCAGGGGGCUGGCCGCAGGCUGACGCUGAGGCGCGACAGCGUGGGGAGCAAACCGG